GAAGAUUUGGAGCUCAGUACCGAUACAUGGUGAUUACAAGAGAUGAGUCUCCCUGUAGCUGAAAAUUUUAUUAAACCAUGAGGCUCUAAUAGGGUAGAUAUUAAUAAAGGAACCUCUCAAAGACUCAAAACUCAGAUUAUGACUGGUUGGAACUUGAAGGAAGACGAAAAGAACCCCCAGCAUAGAGCAUUUGGUAAACCGGUUUUAUUCUAAUUGUAAGAAUUAUGCUCAAGAUGGUGCCCAGCCCACAGGCACCAGCUAGAACCAGGAAUGUAAGCCGAAAGCAAGUUCCACCCAGACAGGUCGAUGAUUGCUGCUUGGCAGCUUCAAAGUCGUAGACAUAACCAGCAAGCAGACCUGAGAAGAGUAGUGCACCUAUAGGAUUGCCUAGCAGCAUGAAGUUGUAAAUUACACCAAAAUGUUUCAAACCAAAGAGCUCGGAGGCACAUGGAACCAUUAUGGAAAACUGAACCCCGUAACAG
rnacentral:lncRNA from 1 species